rnacentral:misc_RNA from 1 species
CAGGCCUCCCUCUGCUUGGUUCCCGUCGUGGGCAUGAGUGAGGGGCGAUGCUUGAUGGCUUUAAUGCUAUCGGUGGGAAUGUGUUUAAGCAUUGGCCUUCCCUCAUGCUCACGAUGGUCUACAGUCUUGUGUAUGAGUCAGUGACGAUGCUUGUUUGUUUUGAUGCUUGCGUUUGAACUUGCUUAAGCAACCGACCUGAUGAAGUACCCAUGAAUGUCUCUCAUGAUGGUCUACAGUCUUGGGUAUGAGUCAGUGAUGAUGCUUGUUUGUUUUGAUGCUUGCGUUGGAACUUGCUUAAGCAACCGACCUGACGAAGUACCCAUGAAUGUCGCCCAUGAUGGUCUACAGUCUUGGGUAUGAUUCAGUGACGAUGCUUGUUUGUUUUGAUGCUUGUGUUGGAACUUGCUUAAGCAACCGACCUGACAAAGUACACAUGAAUGUCGCCCAUGAUGGUCUACAGUCUUGGUUAUGAUUCAAUGACGAUGCUUGUUUGUUUUGAUGCUUGCGUUGGAACUUGCUUAAGCAACUGAUCUGACGAAGUACCCAUGAAUGUCGCCCAUGAUGGUCUACAGUCUUGGUUAUGAUUUAGUGACGAUGCUUGUUUGUUUUGAUGCUUGCGUUGGAACUUGCUUAAGCAACUGACCUGAUGAAGUACCUAUGAAUGUUGCCCAUGAUGGUCUACAGUCUUGGUUAUGAUUCAGUGACGAUGCUUGUUUGUUUUGAUGCUUGCGUUUGAACUUGCUUAAGCAACCGAUCUGAAGAAGUACCCAUGAAUGUAAGUCUGCGAUCCAGGGGUGAUGUUGAGAGCCGAAGGCAAGAGGAUGCAAACACCAGCCAGCCUUUGUCCCGAUUGCUGAGUGUAUGUGCUUGAUGUCCAAAGCUUGAUGCUGAUCUUCCAAGUGGGGCUUGUCCCUGCACCAAUGGCUUUUGCCAGGAUCAUGGCGUUUGCUGUGAUCGAAAAAAUGAGGGGGUGAUGUUGAGAGCCGGAAGACAAGGGGGUGCAAACACCAGUCGGCCUUUGUCCCGAUUGCUGAGUGUUAUGUGCUUGAUGUCCAAGGCUUGAUGCUGACCCUCCAAGUGGGAGCUUUUUUGUUCCUGCGGUAACGACUUUGUUGGGAUCAUUGUGAUCAAGUUUGGUUGGUUUCGUAUUGUGGUGGGUUUUUUCGAAGCUUCUAUCGUUCUUUUACGCAUCGUGCGGUGCAUCUUGGGGGCUGUUUUGGCUUUUGGUUGCUUGCUUGGGCUUUAUGCUAGGCGGGUGGCUAAU